UAUUUUUUGCUGCAACUUCUGAAGAAGAGACACGUUUGCAAAUGGAAGAGCCUAGAGAGUUUAAAGCUUGUGGGUUGGCUCCGGAAAAGCUAGAUGCUGGUGAAACUGAAGAAGAAAUCAAAGAAACUUUGGAAACGAUCUCUAAAUCUGAUUCUCAAAGCAUUGAUACAGUUUCCAAAGAUAAUAUUGUUGCUGAUCAAACUCUUGUUGAGGCAUCUUACACUUCACUUCCCGAGGAAAAGGAGUACAAGGCAGGUGAAAGUGAAGUGCCAGCUGCUGAAAAUGGGGGAGAUUUAAUUUCUGCAAGGUCAGUCGAAGAGACAAUCUUGAAAAAGGAAGAGCCCGGGGAGCUCAAAGUGUCUGAAUUGGCUCCGGAAGAGCUGAAUGCUGGCGAAACUGAAGAAGAAAUCAAGAAAACUCCUGAAACAGUAUCUGAACCUGAUUCUCCAAGCACUGACGUGGUUUCGAGAGAUGAGGCCAUUUCUGAUCAGACACUCCAUGAAGGAAUAUCAACAGAGAAAC
rnacentral:lncRNA from 1 species